ACAAACCAUUCAGCUGUGAGCAGUGUGGAAAGGCUUUUACUCGGAAGAGUUAUCUAGCAAAACAUCAACUCAUUCACAGUGGAGUUAAACCAUUCAACUGUGAUCAGUGUGGAAAGGCUUUUACUCUGAAGAGUAAUCUAGCAAAACAUCAACUCAUUCACAGUGGAGUUAAACCAUUCAACUGUGAUCAGUGUGGAAAGGCUUUUACUCAGAAGAGUAAUCUGGCAAAACAUCAACUCAUUCACAGUGGAGUUAAACCAUUCAGCUGUGAUCAGUGUGGAAAGGCUUUUACUGACAAGAGAAACUUAAAAAGUCAUCAACUCAUUCACAGUGGAGUUAAACCAUUCUACUGUGAUCAGUGUGUGAAAACCUUUACUCAACAUGAACAGUUGUUUAUCCAUCAAUGCCCCCAUUCUGGUACAAAGCGGUACCACUGUGACUCCUGUGAAAAAAACUUUCAAGCACCAACAAAGCUUAAAAUGUCACCAACGCAUCCACACUGGAUAUGAUGUGUAUGUAUGUGAUUACUGUGGCGAACUAUUUGUACAGUACUCACAGUUAAAAGCUCAUGAAGUGACCCACACUGGGGUUAAACCAUAUGUUUGUGACCAGUGUGGGAAACGCUACAGCUACAUUUCACACCUCAAAGUUCACCAACGUGUCCACACUGGGGAGAGACCAUACAGAUGUGAGGAGUGUAAGAAGACUUUUAGAACUUUGGGUUCCCUGAAACAACACCAGCAGAUCCACACCAGAAAGAAAGCAUUCAAUCAGUGUCACAGUGAGAACGGAACAGAUGGACAAAACUCUCAGACUUGUCAGCACUCUGCCAAUGGUGAACAGUGCUGCUUUGACCAGUCUGGACCAACGUCCAAUCAACAAGGAACCCUACAACGACACCAUCGUAUGCACACUGGACACAGACUGAACCCCUGCCAAGAAGAUUUCUCCAUGCAGGAUUCAGUAGAAGUUCAUGAAGUCCUCCACAAACUUAAAGUCCUUGAGAUCCGGCUUCACAGAAUUCAGGUCUAAUUUCUUGUUUUACUGUCUUCGUUGCUUCGUUGCAAAAUCCAUUAAGAGGAAAGCUGUCGUUAACAGAUGUGACUGGUAAAUUAAUUAAACCAUUCAAAGUGGUUACUCAUUUAAAUGAAUUAUCAGUGGCAGAGGGAUAGACGUGUGGAUGGAGGCAGUGAGCAGCAGGUAGAAUUUCCUCAAUUACCACCCUUUAAGCUGCGGUCAAUUUUCCCCUGAAAUUUCUACUGAAGAUGUACAGAAAGUAAAUUGAAUGCUGUUCUUGAACUGUUUGGAGUACAGGCAUGGUUGGGGUCUCCUUUAAAAGCUGACAACCUGAAUUUUCACCCAGUGCAGUCAGAAUUACUCUAGGUGCUACUGACAGAGUUAUUUAUGUUGGAACACACUGAAUUAGGAUGAAUUUUAUUCACGCCUAAAUUUUUUCCCUAAUAAAACACCUGAAAAUUAGUGUGGCAGCACUGUGACAGCUUGAAACACAACAAGGCAACAGCCUGGGGUCUUACAUAGUUCAGGACAAAAUUUCAGAGCAAUACUACAAGAAAUGAGUGUUUCACACGUUUUUGUACUAAUAUGCCCAAUUAUGUCAAUUUUGGACACCCUAUGUACACCCUGUGCAAAAAUGGUAUAUGUUCGUUUAUCAGCCCUUUUUCACAUUAUUUUCACUCCAAAAACUCAUAAAGAACUCAAAAAAUCACUUCAGAUAAGCUUCAGUGUGGAUCUUGAUCUGAAUCAGAGGCACAGACGGAGACAGAAAAGCUGCAGCUCCUGGCCGCAGCAGGAGAGCAGGAGGUGUGAAAAAUCACACAGAGCCGCUAAAACCCGCCUCUCGGCUAUUCAGCAAGCUCAUUGGCUACAUGCCCUGUCCGUCAAACGUUUCCUCCGACGUGAUUUGCUCAGAAUUUACUGAUGAGAUGAGGGUCACCAGAUCCAUCGUUGGCUGUUUAGGCUUCGGAGGCAGCGAUGAGUCACUUGAUUGGUUGAAAUGCGGUUGGAAUCGAAAGCAGAGGCUUCAGUCGCCAUUUUCAGACCGAGACCGUGUGGAUUUCUGAAUGCUUCAUAAAAUUAUGGAUAAAAAUGCAGUGAAUUAUGGAACACGCGGCUCCACCAUGCGCCACGUGGACGCGCACGGAGCCGAGCUAUUUGUGGAUUAUUUACUUAUUUCUAGACAUGUUUUGGAGAAAAUAUGAUACUUGCUAGUAUUGUCUGGAUGACUACUCUUGGAUUAUGGCCGGUUUUGUGGAUUAUUUUCAUCGUUGACCGGUAAAAGACCAUCCAAAGGUAAGUUAUGCCCUUUAUGUGUCCUUUAAAUUUUUGUUGUUUGUUUUAGAAAUGUGUUUAUAUUACCCGCUGUGGUAAUCACAUCUGAAAGUGGUUUAUACCGGCGGAUUCAUGAGACUCUAAGCUUUCCAUGCAUGUAUAGUGUUUCUAUCAUCGCGUUUGAAGCUAAAAAUGCUUUUGCCGUUAAACUUCAGCAGGCCAUUUUGGGCCCGAAUACGGGCCCGUGCGGGUUAAGUGGUUGUUCCUCAGAUCCCUCUGGGCUGCAGGAACCCGUUAGAUGCAGAGCUGGUGCAGUGAUUCUCUGAUGGUUUAUCAUAAUUAAUUUAGGAGAUUACUGACCGUAGGUAUCUAUCUAUCCAUCUAUAAUCUAUCUAUAGGAAUCUCUAAUAUUGAACAAGUAGAUCAACUAAUCUCAGAUUACGUGUGAGUUGAAAUAAAAAAACAUGAAGUGUUCUAUGAAAAGUCCAAUCUUUGAAAGCUGACAUGUCGUUUAGAAUCAUUUCUUUGUAAAUUAGCUUCAUCCAGUCAUUACCAUGACAUUGGCAUCAUGGAACCAUGACCACAUAUAUGUGUCUGGAGAUAGUGGCAUUUUUAUAACGCCACAUUUUCAUGCUUUGACAGAUACAGUGAGGAAAAAAGUUUUCAGACACCCUGAAAAUUUUUACACAAUCUUAAAUAUCAUCAUGAAAUAUUUGUUAGUCUUUUUGUGUGUUUCUAAGGGUGUGGCUGCAUCAGACAGACACAAAUACAAAUGAUAUAUUUUUUUGUUUGUUGUUUACAAGAAAAACUAACAAAACUAAAUUCUACCAAAUUUCUCGUUUUAUGGAACCAGUCAAUUUUCAGUUUUUAAUGUCUUUUUUAGGAUGUGUUUAGUUUUAUGAUUGUACUAAAAUAAAUGACUCUAGAAGACCUCAAAGUGAUUCUUAAUGCAGUAUUUCACAAAGGUAUGGGAUGUCCAAAAACUUUUUUCCACUGCUGUAUUUAACAACAAUCUGAUCUGCUGAUGUUAGCAAGACAAACAAGUGAAGGUUUCAGGCUUUUAUCUAGAAUUGUUCUUGAGAUAUUCAUCUUCAAACAGCCUCAAAUUUCAAUGUGAGAAAAGAAAAACGAGUGAAACUGGGUCUACAGUCCACUGAAAAACCUCUAAGAAAGUAUCUGACAUAUUGGGUGAUGUGUAUGACCCAGCACCCACAGCUGGUUGGGUGUCAUGUGGCUCUGCGUUCUGAUUGGAUGAUUGUCCAACCACUGCCACAAGUAUGAAGGUCAUCCUGCAGGCGUGGCAGGAACACGGAGUGGAAACACAAUAGAUGUGUUCAUCUGGCCAUGCUGAGGGAACCCUCUGCUUCAAGCUAGUGGAGAACAUCAUAGUAGGUAGAGUCCCUAUAUUAUCAGAGUAUCGACAUGACGGGUCCAAAAAAUUUUGGUCACGUGAUCAAUAUGCGCCAUUUUGCUUCCUAUUCAUGAACGCCGGGUUUUCUGUUAACGUUGUUUACACUGCAGAGAGUAAUUCUAGGUCCUUUUUCGCUUCUUAAAUACCUGAAAAAUGACAGGCUGUUGUGCCUUUGGGUGCACAAAUCGAUCGUAGAAGGGAUUCCACAUGUUUAGAUUUCCCAGUAAUAGUCAAAGAAGGAAACUGUGGGAAAAUAAAGUCCGGAGAGUGGGAUGGAAACCGACUUCAUCGUUUUUGUGCCAGGUUAGUCCCAUGUAUGUACUUUCAUGUUAUGGUGUAUGGGUGAAUGACAGAUAGAAAAGUUUGAUGUGAUUUUAGGCAGUUGUGGUUAUUUUGACUUUGACCAUAUUCAUGCAUGGAGAUGUGUUACUGGUGACUGUUGGGUACCGUAACCCGUUAAACCUCCGUAUUCGGGCUGUCUUGAGAUGUGCAAACGUAUUUUGCUAAAUUGACCGAAGCUGCAAACUCGAUGACAGAAACAUUAUACACCCAUGGAAAGCUUAGAUUCUCAUGAAUCCACCGGUAUAAACCACUUUCAAAUGUGAUUACCACAGCGGGUAAUAUAAACACAUUUGUCCAACAAAUAACAUAAACAGCAAAACUCACCUUUGAAUCCUCAUAACUAGUCACAGAUGAAAAUAUUCCACUAAAAACGGCCAUAAUCCAACCUUGGACAUCCAGAAAAAAAAAGCCAGUAAUAUAUUUUGUCCAAAACAUGUCUUCAAAUCAGUAAACAAUCCACAAGUAGCAAGUUUUUGUGAAUGUGCACCUCGCGCUGCGCGUCCCAUAUUGAGUGAAUAGAAACAAAAUGGCUUCAAAUCCCCAGUUGUCGCUGCUCUGAUAAUACAGGGGCUCUAAUAGUAGGUGCUGGUUACUGCCCCCUACAGGUCUCUACACAGUCCUUAAUCCUGGAGAAUUAGAAAAUGACUAAAAAAUAUAUUUUAACUUUAUACAAUAAAAAAUUAACUUACACUCAACUUCUCACAUGACUAAUUAACCCUGUCCUGUGGGUCAAAAUGGACUCGUUUUAAAGUUUGAAAAUGUGGGAAUAAAUAUUUUCACAGUGAAACUUCUGAUGGCCACGUUUUCAACAUUUUUGGGAAAUCUUUGAACAUUUUUAGGUGGAAAUAAAAACUUAAAAAUAUUUCUAAAGAACAUUCACAAAAAAAUCAACCAAAAUCCAGUGAAAUUAACUGGAUUGUUGAUGAUGUUUUUAAAGAAAAUAUUAGAAGUUUUACUGAAAUGUAUAUAAUCACUUUAGAUAUUUUUAGGAUUUUUUGGUAAGAUUUUUACUAUUUUUUUUUGGAAAAUAGUUAUAACAAUUUUCUUGCCAAAUUUGGGUGAUUUUUUUGAAAAGAAAACUUUUAUGAAAUUACUGGAAUUUUCUUCCUGAAGGUUUUACAAAUUUUCAGAAAUUUGGGGAAUUUUUUUAUUUUUUUAGACAAGGAAACAAUGUUUUUUGUGCCUGUAAAAUGAGGACAACAGGAGGGUUAAAACAUUAAAAGGCAACAUCAUUAAGGUUUCUUUUAUCAAACGUUUUUCAUCAACAAGUACACAAAAUAGAUUAAAAAUAUAAUCUAACAUAUUUACUGAUUAAAAACUUUGAAUUUCUUCUUUAUGUUGUUCUUCUGCAUAACUCACUAUUUCAAACUGGCUCAUGUUACUUCCAUGUGAUCUGCCAUUAAAACGGCCACAUUCUACCAUAAACACUGUAAAUAAUAACACGCCUGCUCAAAGUUAAAGGCCAACAUACGACCCAAACAUGACAUGGAUUUGGUGCCACUUUCAACUAAGAUGAUCUCUUCUGUUAAACAAAGCGUUGAUUGUGAAUCUUUUUUCCAGAUAUGAAGCUGCUCCUUCCAGGUCCACAGACAGUAAACAAAACAAAGCUCUCUGUAAAAACCCUCAGAAUGUUGAAUAGAAUAAAUGUGGACAGUUUCAUGACUGUAAGAGAAGAUUUCUGGAUCAUUUUGUGUCUCAUUUGUGUCAUUAUGUGUUUUGUUUUGUUCAGUUUACGUCUUUCUGUCUGGUUUUAAACAGUUUGCAUCUUUUCAUGUUAUUUUUUCUUCCAUUUUGGUCAUUUUGUGCCUUUAUUUUGACCAAUAUGUGUCUCAUUAUGAUCACUUUGUGUGUUUUUAAGUUUAUUUCUGUUUAAAAUUGUUCAUCUUGUUAGUUCUUUUGGUCAGUUCACGUCUAUUUCAUCAUUCUGUGACUCAGUGGCCAUUUCUGUUUCAGUUUUCAUCUCAUUUUUGCUCUGAAUUGCUCAUUUUAUCUCAUUUUGGUCAUUUUCCAUCACUUUAAAGUUGUUUUUGUUCAAUUUUGGUCAUUUUGCAUCUUAUUGGAUCAUUUUGGUCAUUUUGUGUCAGAAUGUGUUUAAUUUUGAUCAGUUUACAUCUUUUGGUCCGUUUUUAAACAUGUUGCAUCUUUUCGUGUUUUUUUUGUGGUAAUUUUUAUUUUUUUUUCAUCAAGUUUUGGUCAUUUAUGUGUCUAAUUCAGGUAAUGUUCCUUCUCUUUAUGUUGUGUUUUUGUACCAUUUUGGUCAUUUAAAGUUUUUUGUUCCAUUGUGGACAUUUUGUGUCUCAUUUAGAUCAUUUUUUUGUGUCAUUUUGGACAUUUUGCAUCAGUUUAAGGUUUUUCUGUUUCAUUUUAUGUCUCAUUUUGUGCAUUUCAGUCUGUUUUUAGGGAAAAAGUGUCAUAAAUCAGACUGUCAAUGAUAUGUGAACAAACCUUUCUGUAAAAACUUUCAGAAUGUUGAAUAGAAUAAAUGUGGACUGACUAGGUAACCUUACAGAACCUUUACUGUUGUGAUGUACGCAUUAACCUGACUUUAUGCACUCCAAGGCGCGGGGGAGGGGUGAAAUUACGAAUUAUGGAAUGUGAAUAUAAUAAUAACGAUAAUAAUAAUGAUAAAAUAUUAAAUAAAUAAAAUAAAACCCUUCCCCCCCGCUGUAUGUCUCACACACACACACACACACACACACAAAGGCAUGUUCGCCUGUGGGGGAGAAAGCACAAAAUUUAAAUUUGAAUCUCACCUUUUGGUUUUUAAGAACACAUUUGCUUCUGUUACAUACCAGCAUCUGGCUCUGAAAGACUGCUGAGAGUUUGUCUUUGCUUCUUUAACCCUCUAAGACCAAAAAAUAAAGACAACUUAAAAAGUUUCUAUAAAUAAAUAAUGUACGGAGGCUGUAUUUUUGCAGCAGUGGGUUUUACAGGGUUAAAAAGAUAUUUCUGUAUUGAAAUCACAAUUAUUUAGAUGUCAGUUGUUCUCCAGCUGCUUAAAUAUAUAGUUUGUUAAAUUAUGCUCCAUAAACCAGCUCUAAAUGAGGUCAACUUAAGCCUCUAAGACCAAAAAAUAAAGAAAACUUAAAAACAUACACAUGUGAGAAAGAAUUGAUAUAGGAAAAAAUAAAAUUAAGUAAAACAAAAAGUUUCUCUAAAUAAUGUAAGGAGGCUGUAUUUUUGCAGCAGUAACAGUAACAGUUUCUACCCCACAGCAAUAACUACCCUCAAUGCCUUAAGGAAUGUCUGAUUGAGUAUUUAUUUAUUGUUUUUCUAUUUAUUAACUUGUGUUGUCUUUUUUAAUGAUGCUCUGACUGUCUGGUACUUUUAAAUGUUGUUGUACUGGUUACAAUGACAAUAAAGGACUAUUCUAUUCA